CGGAGAUGCGUAUGUUGAGAUGGAUGUGUGGCCACACGAGGAAGGAUCGAGUCCGGAAUGAUGAUAUACGAGAUAGAGUUGGGGUAGCACCAAUUGAAGAGAAGCUUGUCCAACAUCGUCUGAGAUGGUUUGGGCAUAUUCAGCGCAUGCCUUCAGAAGCUCCGGUGCAUAGUGGACGGCUAAAGCGUGCGGAGAAUGUCAAGAGAGGGCGGGGUAGACCGAAUUUGACAUGGGAGGAGUCCGUUAAGAGAGAUCUGAAGGAUUGGAGUAUCACCAAAGAGCUAGCUAUGGACAGGGGUGCGUGGAAGCUUGCUAUCCAUGUGCCAGAGCCAUGAGUUGGUUGCGAGAUCUUAUGGGUUUCACCUCUAGCCUACCCCAACUUGUUUGGGACUAAAGGCUUUGUUGUUGUUGUUAUUGUUGUUUUAUACAAUUUAUCAAUAGGAUCUAUUGACAGUCUCUUAUGCAUUCUUUCGGUGGUAACAAUAUAUAUAGGUAAUGAACUAUAACUUGUGAUGCAAGUACCAUAAAUUAUUCCCAUCGUAAGAUACUUAAACUUCUUGAGCGAAUACUCCAUACAUGUUGAAGCUUUAAGCCUCUUGUUUGCCACAUUGUUGUUUAGGUAUAAAGAGCCUUUUCUUUUGAAGGUAUUGGCUUAUCUUUUUCCAUGAGUAGUUACGUGCAAAAUAAUGAACCAUCACUGUCUUGACCUUCAGCAUUGUUUGUAUCAUUGGUAGCUGCCCAUGACUCUACUAUGAAGAAGGUGCUGAAUGUCAACUGGUAGGAGUAGACAUCACCUAUGAGUUUACAUGAGGGGGUAAAAUAUUACAAAGCACUCCGAUUCUAUGCUCAAAAAAUGCUUUAUCACAACUUCACAUUCUUCAGCAUGAGCCCAACAUUUCUUUGGAAGUUCAAACUGCGGUGCAGACACAACGCCUUGGAAGUUCUCACAGAAUCAAUGCUCGUGGGAGAACUCUGAAUUUGUUCGUUCUCGCUUAUUGUGAGAGAACUCUGGAUUUCUUGGUGGCUGAUGGUGGUCGAUCUCACUCUUGACAGUUAAUGUGUAUGCAUCACAAGUUUUCUGAUUGCACUUGUUGCGUUGUAUCAUUUACAGCAGAUUCUCAGAAUGCAGUCUAAAUGAGACUCAACCUCUUAAACCAGCUCAAGUGCUCUAUUCAACUCAAAAUAUAAGUACAAGAGACAUUUUGAGGUGUGCUUAUAUGGACGCGUACUACAACAAUGUGCAUUUUUUGGAGUACUUGUUGAAAGGUUGCUCUUUGCCUCGAGCGCAUGCAUAUACGGUGGAUUGAACCAGCUUGAAGCACGCUUGAGCUUGAAGGAAGCUGAUGUCUGGCCUGCCAAGUGGUUCAGUACAGUAAAGAUGAGAAACCCAUGAUUUUCUCCAUUGACAAGGAUGCUGCAUUUGUGAUAAACAUUUAAAAGGUGGGAAAGCAAGCUGAAGCCUACGCUGAUGACCGAUGAAAAUCUGAUGCAAGAUGGUGCUCUCUGGUGAUGGAGGCUUGUAUAUUUUUUGGUCAGAUUCCAGUUUUGCUUGCUGUGGUGAUUAUACAUAUGCUGAACAAGCACACGGUCUGCCAUAGGUGUUGUGCUUUCAUAUGGUUCCCUUCCAAAUUAUUUUGUUCUUCUGGUCAACCAUUUGCGUAAUCUGAUACUGACUUGGACUCAGUGUUAGGUAGAUAUACCAUCAUUAGGUUGUUGAAUGAAUGUGGUCGUUCUCUGUCAGGAUGUAGUUCCCUUUCCCCCUUCACCCUCAGCUAUUUAAUUUUAUUGGACACUCUGUUAGACGACGAUACAUUUACAACCGAAGGAAUUAGUCCCAGGAUAUUGCAGUAUGUGGGUUCAUUUAGGUCUGUAACCUCGUAUUGAUAAGUGAGAUAGUCCUAUCAAGGAUUAAGACUGUACUUAAGUGUAGACUAGAAUAUUAAAUCAAGCAAACACAAUGUUUUGUGGAUGGAUAUUGCAAAUACCUUGACCCGAAAUUAGAAUUCCUUAAUCUGGGUGAAACAUUAACUUUCUUGGACUAACUAGAAAAUUGCCCUAUUCGGGCACGGCAAUAAUAUAACUAGCUAGAGUAUUAACCUGGUUGGACCAUCUCAGGUUCUAUCAGUUCAGGAUAAAGGGAGCGAGUCAAAGGCAAUCUUCCACUUGUCAGUGCCCAGUGUCCUAGCUUUCUUGUGAGUUCAACAUGUUAAGUUAUAUCGACCUUCCUUUAGUUGUGUACUGAACUACUGAUGCUAUCAGCAUACGUGGUGUAAUGGAAAAGUAGUCGUGCCAAAUUAUUCAUUGAUGAGUACUGAAAUGCCGAUUGAUCCUAUCUGCAUUGGUAACUGAAAUGAAGUUAACAUUGGCCCGUUCAAUGUGCUCAUGUCAUUUAAGCUGAUCUAAAACAAAUGGUCCUGAAAGUGUGUGGUGUCCUACAUUUAAGUUGUGCAUGUUUUGUACUCCCUCUGUUCCUAAAUAUAAGUCUUUGUAGAGAUUUCACUAUGGUUAGGAACGGAGGGAGUAGAUGAUACUGUAUAUUCUGGGACCAUUCUCGUUUAUGUUUGCGCAAUUAAUUUUAUCGUUGCUUGACUAUGAUUAUUCAUGAUCGUUGCUCUCCUUUAUUUCUCUAGGCUCUUAGCCUGCGCUGAGGCUUGUCUCUGCUAUGAAAGUAGGUUGUCAGAAAAGUCUGGAAGCAUUGCAAACUGGAAACCAGUGCAUUAAGCUGGCCUCGGGUGUACAGUGUCUGAACCCCAGUCACUUUUAUUGACCAUAUAGCGAAGAGACACCAAUGGUGAAGGACGUGAAGAAGCGGGAGCGGAAGUCACGCAGAAACUGUUACCCCAAGAGAAGCAUCGUGAUGUUUUCCUUGUAGCCAUGUUGGAUGUAACCGAUAAAAUUAUUGAUUACGAAAUGUGUGCUCCGUAUGGGCGGGCACAUCCACGGGGUCACGAAAUUGUUUGCUAGCUGAGGUUUGAAGGUAGAGCCGCCAUCCAAGAAUUUUGUUCCGCCUGCUAUUGCUAGUGGGUACGAGGUUCAUUUGUGUGGUUUGUAUAUCUGAUCGUUGAAUUGAUGAUAAGAAAUAUAUUUCAGAGAC